UGCGUAGGCGGGUAGGUAAGUCAGUGGUGAAAUCCUAGAGCUUAACUCUAGAACUGCCAUUGAUACUAUCUAUCUUGAAUAUUGUGGAGGUAAGCGGAAUAUGUCAUGUAGCGGUGAAAUGCUUAGAUAUGACAUAGAACACCCAUUGCGAAGGCAGCUUACUACACAUAUAUUGACGCUGAGGCACGAAAGCGUGGGGAUCAAACGGGAUUAGAUACCCUGGUAGUCCACGCCCUAAACGAUGAUUACUCGACAUACGCAAUACACCGUGUGUGUCUGAGCGAAAGCAUUAAGUAAUCCACCUGGGAAGUACGAUCGCAAGAUUGAA
rnacentral:rRNA from 1 species